GAGUUUGAUCAUGGCUCAGAUUGAACGCUGGCGGCAUGCCUUACACAUGCAAGUCGAACGGCAGCAUGAUCUAGCUUGCUAGAUUGAUGGCGAGUGGCGAACGGGUGAGUAAUACAUCGGAACGUGCCCUGUAGUGGGGGAGUAACUAGUCGAAAGAUUAGCUAAUACCGCAUACGACCUGAGGGUGGAAAGUGGGGGACCGCAAGGCCUCAUGCUAUAGGAGCGGCCGAUGUCUGAUUAGCUAGUUGGUGGGGUAAAGGCCCACCAAGGCGACGAUCAGUAGCUGGUCUGAGAGGACGAUCAGCCACACUGGGACUGAGACACGGCCCCAGACUCCUACGGGAGGCAGCAGUGGGGAAUUUUGGACAAUGGGCGAAAGCCUGAUCCAGCAAUGCCGCGUGUGUGAAGAAGGCCUCGG
rnacentral:rRNA from 1 species